UGCAACGGCCAUCCCACUCUGAACAAGCCCAAUCCUGUAUGAUCUCAGAAGCUAAGCAGGGUUGGGCCUGGUUAGUACUUGGAUGGGAGUCCACCUAGGAAUACCAGGUGCUACAGACG
rnacentral:rRNA from 1 species